rnacentral:tRNA from 1 species
GGUUCUAUAGUGUAGUGGUUAUCACUCGAGAUUCUGAUUUAUCAUAUUUCUCGAAACCCAGGUUCGAGCCCUGGUAGGACCU